UACGUAGGGGGCAAGCGUUGUCCGGAUUUAUUGGGCGUAAAGAGCGAGUAGGCGGCUUUACAGGUCCGUUGUGAAAACUCGAGGCUCAACCUCGAGACGCCGGUGGAAACCGUAAAGCUAGAGUCCGGAAGAGGAGAGUGGAAUUCCUGGUGUAGCGGUGAAAUGCGCAGAUAUCAGGAAGAACACCGAUGGCGAAGGCAGCUCUCUGGGACGGUACUGACGCUGAGACGCGAAAGCGUGGGGAGCGAACAGG
rnacentral:rRNA from 1 species